GUCUUGAAACAGAGAGGAGCUUUCGAGCGAUGAUAACUUAUGACCCCGAUCCAAAGCAGGACUGAUGUAAAUAGAAAAAUGUUGCAUGCUAGUUUUAAUUUGUACAUAUUUUAUUUGAUAUUUAUUUAUUUGUUAUUUAUUUAUUUAUUUAUUUAUUCUGUGAUGUAAAUUGUAAAUUUUGUAAAUAGUAACGGUUUUAAAUUGUUCCUCAUUUUUGUUGGUUAGUAGGACUUUGUGAUGUGUUGCUGGAGGCCGGAGUUGAAGAAACAUUGAGGGCCAGUACAUUGGUAAAACCGAUUAAACAGCGUGGAGUUGAACACUUGUGUUACAACGAUGAAACCUUAUGACCCCAACACAACCCACACUGUGCGAAAUGUCUCCUUUCAAGUAUUCGUCUGCAGGACCUAGUAAAACGCAUUUUUAUUCGAGUAAAUUCCUGUCAACUACUGCGCGCAAAACAUAAGAAGUGUGAAAAGUGAUUUUGUGAGAAUGCAGUGGUUACGACGUAGGUUCAGCAGGACGCUACAUCUUAUUGAAGUGAAUGUUAAAAAAAAUAUUAGCUUCACUAAUAUUUUUUUACCCGAGUGGGAGGAGAGUGUAACCAGUGGGUGUGUAGUGAGUGAAUUCCAGUGACACAGGGGCAGGUUAGCGAGUGUGUUCGUUGAGAGUGAGACGAUUCGGUUUGUGUCACCCACGGAGAGCGAGCGCGACCACCCCGUAUGAGAUCGCCAAUGAGAUGGAGUAACGCCGCUAGCCACCACCAGAGGGCCGAAGAACAUCGCAAGGAUGGUAGCGGUGGCGAAAAGGAUGAUGAUGAUGAUGGGGCGAAAUAUGGGACUUCGCCGGAUCAGAGGUUCGCGGUUCCAUGUCCUGCCGUAGAUCGGCCAUUUGCCCGGUGUAUCGGAAAGUGUACGCGUCGUACAGAUCGCGAAGAAAGCCGUCCGAGCUACGCUUAAAGCUCCGCGGCGUGAUUAAGUGAAGUGCCGCGACUCACCAAGGAGAAGGACUUCACGGAGGACACGGAAAGACCGUGCAAGACACCCCAGGACAUCCAGGACCCCGUAGUUUAGCUACAAAAGCCGGAAUCCGCGACUCGGAUCUCCCGGAAUAACCCGUGGCUCGCCAGUGGUAUCCCCAACCCGUCCACCGUGCACAAUCGGUGUCGACCAGCGACCAGCCGCUCAAAGCUGAGUCGUGUGAGUCCUCCAUCCGGGAACCACGAGCCACACCCGAAGACCUGCCUUACAUCAACCAACCCUGCGCCGGAAACCGGGCAAGACCAGCGGUACCUUCUGGGACAGCUGAAGCUCGAGUCCGUCAACACACUCGAGGACGCGCAGAGGGCAGGCAAACGAGGGUCCAGCGAAGGCUGCAGCAGCAUCAACCCGUGCGUCGGAACGUCGACGGCCACGACAAGCCACCCCAGGCCAGCGAGCAGCGCGAGCAGGCCGAGGUCGGAGACAGCGAUCGCGUCAGCAGAUCCAGCAGCAUCGGCAGCAGUAGCUGAGGGGCCCCGAGCAGCAGGUCCGCCCACGGACAAACAAGGAAGAAAGUGUCAAGGUAGGAGAUAGACAAUAAGGAAGUGGGUUAGGACAGGAGGGAGAAGGUCAGGUUUAGGAGGAAGCCGUGACAAGAACGUGACAAACAGGACAAUAAACCGAGGAGUUAAGCUUGAUGCGACACCAGUGUUUUCCUGCCUCGUGAGCAUAAUUUAUGCCGACCCUGAGGUUCAAAAAGGGAGUUAUUUGGACCACCCACUCACCCCAUUGAGUUUUAUGUUUCGAUCCCCUUGCCUUGUAGCAUGAAAUAACUAAGAGGGUCACCCUAGUAGACCCGAAAGUUAUAAAAUCU